CCCUUAGAUGUUCUGGGCCGCACGCGUGCUACACUGAGUGGAUCAGCGGGUCAGGUUGCGCGAAAGUGUUUCCUAAUCUUUAAAUCCGCUCGUGAUGGGGAUUGACGGUUGCAAUUUUCCGUCAUGAACGAGGAAUUCCUAGUAAGCGCGAGUCAUCAGCUCGCGUUGAUUACGUCCCUGCCCUUUGUACACACCGCCCGUCGCUACUACCGAUUGAAUGGUUUAGUGAGGACUCCUGAUUGGCGCCGCCGCCCCGGCAACGGAGCAGCGGACUGCCGAAAAGUUGUUCAAACUUGAUCAUUUAGAGGAAGUAAAAGUCGUAACA
rnacentral:rRNA from 1 species